GAUCGCUGUGUGCGAUGAAAGUUGCAUGCAUGGUGAAGGCUCGAAACGAAAGCCACAUGUUUGUGGUAUAAGACGAGAAUAGCGAACCAACUGAUGAGCAA
rnacentral:misc_RNA from 1 species